CAGGCCAUGCCCUCUUUCCACUGACUUGGGGCACCCAGCCACUAGGUCCCACGUUCGUGCUUUCUCCUUGAGUUUAUAGAGUCCGGCAGGCAGACAGAAUGUCAGUGCUGGAAGCAUUUACCUUCCUCUCCUUCUGGGCUCUUGGGCUUAGCUUAUCCAGAGUGGAGCAGUCCCAGAUAUCUGUGUCCGCAGAAGUAAAGAAAAGUGUCGACAUAAAUUGCAAGAUAGAGAGCACGAAUUUUCCAACAGAAGCUGUUCACUGGUACCGGCAGAGAAUGAAUCAGGCUUUGGAGCAUCUGAUUUUCGUGAGCUCGGUAACAGUCCCAGCUCAAAGCCAAAUAGGUGGAAAGAGCAACAAAGUUGUAGCAAGGAAAAAUUCUCAAACGUUCACUUCAACCCUUACGGUAAAUUUCAUAGAAAAAGAAGAUGAAGGCAUUUACUACUGUGCUGGCUGGACUUCAUACAACAAAAUCUUCGGUGCUGGAACAAAACUUUUCGUCAUAGACAGAAAUCUUGCUACAGACAUGACCCCCAAGCCCACUGUUUUCCUUCCUUCAAUUGCUGAGAUAGAGCACUCUAAGGUUGGAACAUACCUUUGUCUUCUGGAGAAGUUUUUCCCUAAUGCUAUUCAGGUUUAUUGGAAAGAAAAGAAUGACAACAGAGUUCUGGAAUCCAUGCAAGGAAACACCGUGAAGACUGAUGACACAUACAUGAAAUUCAGCUGGCUGACUGUGAGUGAAGAGUCCAUGGGUAAAGAACACAUAUGUUUCGUCAAACAUGAGAAAAACAGAGUAGAACCUGUUCAGGAGAUUCUUUUUCCUUCAAUUAAUGAAGUUGUCUCCUCAGCUGUCAUGCCUACUGAUUCUCCAAAUGAUUGCUUGAAGGAUGAAAGUAUCUCUGAUAGUGAUUCUAGAAAGGCCUGUGUAAGAAAUGAAAGUGAAAUCACUAAUUCUACAAAAGCUUGUCUGAAAGAUGAAAGCAAUACCCUGCAGCUGCAGCUCGAGAACACCUCUGCCUACUACACCUACCUCCUCCUCCUCCUCAAGAGUACCCUCUACUUCGCCACCGUCCUCUCCUGUCUGUUUAGGAGAACAGUCUGCAGCAGUGGGAAGACCUCCUGACAGAUGAUGCCACCAAGGGCUCAACUUCGCUUCAGCAUCAUUGUCUCUACAAGUGUCUGCUGAGGAUCUAGCAGCACUUCCUUUCUGGGUUUGGCUUCCUUCAGAGAAUGUGUACAUCUUUGUAUUAGGUCAACAUUGUGUAGGUUUUUUCAAACCACUGGGCAAACAGACCCUUGCACUGCAUAACAAGGAAUUCUGCCAUGACUCGGGCAGGGCUGAGGGCUGGUCCCCGGGAGCCUUUCCCACCACUGUCCCUCAGUGUCAUCAGCUCCUCCAGCUGCCUGAGUCCUCUUGCCUCGUGAGCACACACAGCACAGCACACAGCUCCCCGUCUCCUCCCUCAGGGCUCCACCCAGACCACAGCCCUGACCUUCCCUGUACACAUCUGGAGCUCCCAGCUUUGCUGCUUCAAUUCUGUUCUCUGAUUUUCAUAAUAGGCACAAUCAAUUAAAAAGAUAUCCAAACUCUAC